UGGGGAAUUUUGGACAAUGGGGGCAACCCUGAUCCAGCAAUGCCGCGUGUGUGAAGAAGGCCUUCGGGUUGUAAAGCACUUUUGUCCGGAAAGAAAACGCCGUGGUUAAUACCCGUGGCGGAUGACGGUACCGGAAGAAUAAGCACCGGCUAACUACGUGCCAGCAGCCGCGGUAAUACGUAGGGUGCAAGCGUUAAUCGGAAUUACUGGGCGUAAAGCGUGCGCAGGCGGUCCGCUAAGACAGAUGUGAAAUCCCCGGGCUUAACCUGGGAACUGCAUUUGUGACUGGCGGGCUAGAGUAUGGCAGAGGGGGGUAGAAUUCCACGUGUAGCAGUGAAAUGCGUAGAGAUGUGGAGGAAUACCGAUGGCGAAGGCAGCCCCCUGGGCCAAUACUGACGCUCAUGCACGAAAGCGUGGGGGAGCAAACAGGAUUAGAUACCCUGGUAGUCCACGCCCUAAACGAUGUCAACUAGUUGUCGGGUC
rnacentral:rRNA from 1 species